UACGUAGGGGGGCAAGCGUUGUCCGGAUUUAUUGGGCGUAAAGAGCGUGUAGGCGGCCUGGUAGGUCAGCUGUGAAAACUCGAGGCUCAACCUCGAGACGCCGGUUGAAACCAUCAGGCUAGAGUCCGGAAGAGGAGAGUGGAAUUCCAGGUGUAGCGGUGAAAUGCGCAGAUAUCUGGAAGAACACCCGUGGCUAAGGCGGCUCUCUAGUACGGUACUGACGCUGAGACGCGAAAGCGUGGGGAGCGAACAGG
rnacentral:rRNA from 1 species